UGUUUGUUUGGAUUCAGCCGUGACUGGACGUGUGUGUCCCCUGUUGUUACUACGACUACUACUACUACUACUACUACUACUACUUGGAGCGGUUACUGAACAGGACAGACGUGGAAUGUUGUGCCUUGUAUAGCCGCGUCUGCCUGGAGGAUUCCCAGGUGCUACUGCUGUCAAGGGCGCUAGGAUCAUUUGAUUUGUAGCAUUGUAUUACUCUU